GUAGUCUGCAACUCGACUACAUGAAGCUGGAAUCGCUAGUAAUCGCGAAUCAGCAUGUCGCGGUGAAUACGUUCCCGGGUCUUGUACACACCGCCCGUCACACCAUGGGAGUUGGUAACGCCCGAAGCCAGUGACCCAACCGGAAACGGAGGGAGCUGUCGAAGGUGGGACCGAUAACUGGGGUGAAGUCGUAACAAGGUAAC
rnacentral:rRNA from 1 species